AGAAGCAGAGAAGUGGGAAAGGGCAACACAAUAGUCUUCCAUGGAGAUGCUUCAAGACAUAUCUAUUUAUUUCUGAGGAGCUGGAAAGAAAGCUGAAGCCCUAAGAAACUGUGGGGCAUUUAUUAGCCUCUCACUAGCCAAGCUCAAGAAGUCCUAUGUUUCAAGCUGGCAGAAGACCUUAUACACAGUGUAACACCAUCCUGCUGAAGAAGGAGAAUCCAUAUGAGGACAAAUUGAACAUACAACUACAAAUGUACAAACUGGAGACCAAAGUGCUCACCUAAGAAUUAAAAUGUCUUGCUCAGAUUCUACAUGUUCUUGAAGAGCAAAUGGGCUUUGAGGAAUCUUUAAGGGAAAAUCAGUUUCCAGAUUUCAUGAUGAUUCUUCAGAACUUCAGUGAAGCUAAACAUCUCGUGAAGGCAUUUUUGAAGAAUACAUGUCAAUGUCAGAGCUUCACCCAGCAGAAAUUCCUUCCUGAUUUCCCUCCAAAACAGAAAAGGCUUCCCAGUUAAUUGAUAUUUUUUCAUUUGUGGAAAUAGAAGGUGCUUUUUCUCACUCCAUUAAAAAGCAUUGUAGACUGUUA
rnacentral:lncRNA from 14 species